GAAAAUAUAUAUUAAAUAGAGACUCCAAUCAAAAAUUAUUCUGACGGCCGAGAAUUUAGGUUUUCCGGCAUUAAAUUCCUAUAUUCCCAUGGUGCCAUUUUUUCCGCCCCAGUCAUUUUUUUCCGGUGCCUUUUUUUCUGGUCGGCCAUAUUUUCCGGUGCCAUUUUUUCCUAAAUUCACAAGUGAGUGCAACAAUAUUGUUGGUCAAUUUUAUUGUAAAGUCCCAUUUACACGAUGCGACUAAUUCGUGUAUGAUCCUUAUCCUGGCGUAUGUAUUCCAAUAAAUGCGCGUAAGACAUUUCAAAUUUCGCCAUAAACUGAUGAACAGGAAUAGUAAGCAGUCGUUUUCAUACCCCAGAAUGACAAUCGUAUACGACCAUUAGUAAGUACACGAGUAUAGUCGUAUUGUGUAAAUGGACGUUAGGGCGUUCUGACUGUGUAAUCAGGCAAAUUAAAUACUAAAUAGAAAGGGGGGGUCAUAGAUAUCUCAUAGAUUCUGCCGAAACGUAUAUAGAGGAUAUUACACGGCGGCGCGAAGAUAUGACUUUUUAUCUUCGAGUGGUGAAAACAAUAUUUUAUGUAAACUAACGUAAAAUAUUGUUUUUAACACGAGAAGAUAGAAGUCAUAUCUUCAAGCCAACGUGUAAUGUUCUGUUUAUUAUAUAGUCCCAAGCAAAAAAUUGUAUAAAUACUAAAAGUCACG